UCGAACGACUCUGGUAUUGAUUGGUGCUUGCAUCAUGAUUUACAUUUGAGUGAGUGGCGAACUGGUGAGUAACACGUGGGAAACCUGCCCAGAAGCGGGGGAUAACACCUGGAAACAGAUGCUAAUACCGCAUAACAACUUGGACCGCAUGGUCCGAGUUUGAAAGAUGGCUUCGGCUAUCACUUUUGGAUGGUCCCGCGGCGUAUUAGCUAGAUGGUGAGGUAACGGCUCACCAUGGCAAUGAUACGUAGCCGACCUGAGAGGGUAAUCGGCCACAUUGGGACUGAGACACGGCCCAAACUCCUACGGGAGGCAGCAGUAGGGAAUCUUCCACAAUGGACGAAAGUCUGAUGGAGCAACGCCGCGUGAGUGAAGAAGGGUUUCGGCUCGUAAAACUCUGUUGUUAAAGAAGAACAUAUCUGAGAGUAACUGUUCAGGUAUUGACGGUAUUUAACCAGAAAGCCACGGCUAACUACGUGCCAGCAGCCGCGGUAAUACGUAGGUGGCAAGCGUUGUCCGGAUUUAUUGGGCGUAAAGCGAGCGCAGGCGGUUUUUUAAGUCUGAUGUGAAAGCCUUCGGCUCAACCGAAGAAGUGCAUCGGAAACUGGGAAACUUGAGUGCAGAAGAGGACAGUGGAACUCCAUGUGUAGCGGUGAAAUGCGUAGAUAUAUGGAAGAACACCAGUGGCGAAGGCGGCUGUCUGGUCUGUAACUGACGCUGAGGCUCGAAAGUAUGGGUAGCAAACAGGAUUAGAUACCCUGGUAGUCCAUACCGUAAACGAUGAAUGCUAAGUGUUGGAGGGUUUCCGCCCUUCAGUGCUGCAGCUAACGCAUUAAGCAUUCCGCCUGGGGAGUACGGCCGCAAGGCUGAAACUCAAAGGAAUUGACGGGGGCCCGCACAAGCGGUGGAGCAUGUGGUUUAAUUCGAAGCUACGCGAAGAACCUUACCAGGUCUUGACAUACUAUGCAAAUCUAAGAGAUUAGACGUUCCCUUCGGGGACAUGGAUACAGGUGGUGCAUGGUUGUCGUCAGCUCGUGUCGUGAGAUGUUGGGUUAAGUCCCGCAACGAGCGCAACCCUUAUUAUCAGUUGCCAGCAUUAAGUUGGGCACUCUGGUGAGACUGCCGGUGACAAACCGGAGGAAGGUGGGGAUGACGUCAAAUCAUCAUGCCCCUUAUGACCUGGGCUACACACGUGCUACAAUGGAUGGUACAACGAGUUGCGAACUCGCGAGAGUAAGCUAAUCUCUUAAAGCCAUUCUCAGUUCGGAUUGUAGGCUGCAACUCGCCUACAUGAAGUCGGAAUCGCUAGUAAUCGCGGAUCAGCAUGCCGCGGUGAAUACGUUCCCGGGCCUUGUACACACCGCACGUCACACCAUGAGAGUUUGUAACACCCAAAGUCGGUGGGGU
rnacentral:rRNA from 1 species